CAGAGGGAGAGACACUGGCAACAGGUUUCACUGCACUGGCCAACACACUGUACUUCAGUGAACAAACAGCUCUUUCAGUGAACUGCACAGGGACAUUCAGUCACAUGGAUACACUCAUCAGACUUUAGUCAUCACUUUUUUUUUUUAUUAUUCCGUUUUUAUUUGGGUGCACUGUUUGUUUUGGAAGAGCAAUAAAGAUGAUUAAGACCCUGUUUCAACAUGCGAAGAAACAUCCAGGGGGUUGGCUUGGCAGAGCACCAGAAAAGCAAUAAGGGCAGCAACAGUAUCGAACCCCAGCAAGUAUAAAACACUUCCUAUAUCGGUCAGGCUGAAUGGUGAAAGGUGAAACGCGCACUUGUGUGGCGCCGCAUGAAGACAUCAGCACUGAGCGGUGGACAGCUCCCUGCACACAGGCCUGUCUUCAUUAUCUCAUUCUGUGUUUGUGUGAUCAAAGCUGACCUGCUUUAGUGUGUUUACGUGCGCGCUGCUGUUUGUGUUUACUUCAGUGAUGAUCUGCAGUGUGUGUGUGCGGUGUGUACUUGUAUGUGUGUGCAGUGAGAACUUAGUGUGCACUAUGAACUUUUUUUUUACAAGGUUAGGAGAAGUUCAUAGUGAACCUACUUGGAGAGGAACUCAGCAACCACGGAAACCACACUCGAUAAACAGACAAAAAUAGACCACAAGUCUACUAAAAGAUUAAUUAAGACUUUUAAAAGCCACAAACUGAUCACUGACACUUACUAGCUUCAUGUAAGGACUCGUAAAUUUAGUUAAAUGUUACAAAAACCACAAUAUUUUUGAAAUUUGGAUUGCUGAUGGGCAACUCUGUUUCCAGUAGAAGUAAACUACAUUCACAUGUUGUUUCUCCCUAAAAGGUAAAACUGUAACACAGUAGGAAAGGCCUCCAAUUUAAAGUAGCCAUAAAGUCUGUGCAUGCAGGUAGGAUGGCAGCAAGACUGAAGCUUUGUUUGGAAGUUUGAUAACUACAUGUUAGAAGCUUUG
ensembl:lncRNA